AGCGACACCGCUCUCGUCUUUUCCGCUCCCUCCCACCCACACCAGCCCGAGCUCCCUCCACCCACAGCCGCCGGCCACCACGUCUCCUCACCUACGCCGCCGGCUGGUCACCCCAGCCAUCUUCCGUCGCCGGCGCCAGACCUCUCCUACCUCCUCCUCCUCCCAGUUCUCUCCCGAGACCCCCCCACCCCCCGUCCCGUCCCUAUCCUCGCGUGAGAUCCCAUCAUCGGCGCUCCAUACCCGCUGCCUGCCGGUCAAACUCGACAUCGCCACCGUUCGGCGAAGCUCGGACGCCGUCCGCCCUGCCGAAUCUCCCCUAAUCGGCCCUCAACUGCGCCGCCGCGAAACACUAGGUCGCCGGCCGGCGUCGAGGACGACGCAGGCCAGGCCACUCGCGGCAACUCUCCCCCUGGUCUUCCGCUUCCCCGGCGCGGCCUAUCUGCCCCGUCCCCGUGCGCGCGCCCUUCAGCACCGGGUCCUCACGCCUGGAUGUUGUGGCCGUGCGGGACGGCCUCGCCUGCUCCGGGACGUCGACAACCGCAACUGCUGCUGAAGAUAUGAGUUGCGCCUUAACCCGCAUCCCCCAACCCGCUUCUCCUCGUUUGAAAAAUCGCAUCUUUCUUGUUCAGGCAGCCGGAUGAGAGAGGCGGGAUGUGCUGCUGAUGGUCAUCACCGUCCGCGGGUUGCAGUGGUAUGAUGCUGCGCGCAGGCACCCCAAGGAGCUAGGCGGGAUGUUGCUGUUGAUGGUCUCCGUCGUCCGUUGAUGGUCUCCGUCGUUCGCUGAGCAUGUGGGGAAGAAGCAGCAGGAGGGGAUCUGAAGCCCUAGCACGUGGACGCCGGCGGCAGCUCUCUCUCGUGCCGCUCCGACAGCCUCAAGCCUCCUCCUUGUCUCCUGCUGGUGCUUGCACGUCCUCGACAUGUUGCUGGUACCUGGUCCUUUAUCGAAAAAAAUGUUUCAGGUCCAGACGAGAAGAGCAGAAUCACAACAAUCUGCGCAGUAUCGUGGCGUGCCAGAGUAGAAGAGCAGAAUCACAGCGAGGCGCAGGUCCUGCCCGCUAGGUGUUGUGCCGUGCCGGAGAAGAGCAGAAUCCCAUCAAGUGGCGGGUCCUGCUGGCCAGGUGCCGUGUCGUGCUGAAGGAGAUGUGGGCUACCUGAUGGCAAGAGAUCCGGGAGAGCUGUUGGAGAUAGGUGCGACCUGUGGUGGAGCUAGGUGCUGGAGUAGCUGCUGCCGGAGAUGAUGGAUGGGGGUGGAGGAGUCGCUGGGGCCCGGAGGGAGUAUGCCAUUGUUGUUUAGCUAGGUAUGAACUUGUAUCUAUUUGUGUAAUAUUUGCUACAUGGAGUAGCGAAGUUUGAAUCAUAUGGUCAACUACCUACUGUCUACACAUGUGUUAUUGAUGCAUGCAUGUUAUGAACAUUUCGGUGCUUUCUAUAUAUUGUUUAUCUUGUUGUCA